rnacentral:rRNA from 1 species
UACGUAGGUGGCAAGCGUUGUCCGGAAUUAUUGGGCGUAAAGCGCGCGCAGGCGGUCCUUUAAGUCUGAUGUGAAAGCCCACGGCUCAACCGUGGAGGGUCAUUGGAAACUGGGGGACUUGAGUACAGAAGAGGAAAGCGGAAUUCCACGUGUAGCGGUGAAAUGCGUAGAGAUGUGGAGGAACACCAGUGGCGAAGGCGGCUUUCUGGUCUGUAACUGACGCUGAGGAGCGAAAGCAUGGGGAGCGAACAGG